GCCCGGUUAGCUCAAUCGGUAGAGCGUGAGACUCUUAAUCUCGAAGUUAGGAGUUAAUCUCAAGGUUGCGGGUUCGACCCCCGCAUCGGGCU